GACGAACGCUGGCGGCGUGCCUAACACAUGCAAGUCGAACGGAGAUACGAUUUCGGUUGUAUCUUAGUGGCGAACGGGUGAGUACCGCGUGAGCAACCUGACUCUUAGAGGGGGAUAACACCUGGAAACAAGUGCUAAUACCGCAUAAGACCACGACAUGGCAUCAUGACGAGGUCAAAGGAGCAAUCCGCUGAGAGAGGGGCUCGCGUCCCAUUAGAUAGAUGGCGGGGUAACGGCCCACCAUGUCAGCGAUGGGUAGCCGAGCUGAGAGGCGGAUCGGCCACACUGGAACUGAGACACGGUCCAGACUCCUACGGGAGGCAGCAGUGGGGAAUAUUGGGCAAUGGGCGCAAGCCUGACCCAGCAACGCCGCGUGAGGGAAGAAGGCUUUCGGGUUGUAAACCUCUGUCCUUGGUGACGAAAAAAAUGACGGUAGCCAAGGAGGAAGCCCCGGCUAACUACGUGCCAGCCGCCGCCGUAA
rnacentral:rRNA from 1 species